rnacentral:rRNA from 1 species
CGAACGCUGGCGGCGUGCUUAACACAUGCAAGUCGAAUGCGAACAAUUCCUUCGGGGGUGUAGUAGCAUGGCAGACGGGUGAGGAGUACGUAUCUGACUGGACUCAGGCUGGGGGAUAGUCCUCCGAAAGGGGGUUGAAUACCGCAUGUGCUCAUUCUUGUCAUGAGGAUGAGGAAAGUUGGCCUCUGCAUGCACGCUGAUGGCCUGAGACAGGGAUGCGUCCUAUUAGCUAGCUGGUGGGGUAAUGGCCUACCAGGGCAACGAUGGGUAGCUGGUCUGAGAGGAUGAUCAGCCACACUGGGACUGCGACACGGCCCAGACUCCUACGGGAGGCAGCAGUGGGGAAUUUUGCACAAUGGGCGCAAGCCUGAUGCAGCAACGCCGCGUGAGUGACGACGCCUUUCGAGGUGUAAAGCUCUGUCGACCGGGACGAAGACCCUGGGGUGAAUAGCCUGAGGGGAUGACGGUACCGGUGGAGGAAGCCCCGGCUAACUCC